GGAAUAUUGCACAAUGGGCGGAAACCGUGAUGCAGCGACAGCCGCGUGGAGGAAGAAGGUCUUCGGAUUGUAAACUCCAAGUUGUUGAGGAAAAUAAUGACGGUACUCAACAAGGAAGUGACGGCUAACUACGUGCCAUCAGCCGCGGUAAAACGUAGGUCACAAGCGUUGUCCGGAAUUUCUGGGUGUAAAGGGAGCGCAGGCGGGAAGACAAGUUGGAAGUGAUAUCCAUGGGCUCAACCCAUGAUCUGCUUUCAUAGCUGUUUUUCUUGAGUAGUGCGGAGGUAGGCGGAAUUCCCGGUGUAGCGGUGGAAUGCGUAGAUAUCGGGAGGAACACCAGUGGCGACGGCGGCCUAGUGGGCACCAACUGACGUUGAGGCUCGAAAGUGUGGGUAGCAAACAGAAUAAGUUGCCCUGGUUGUCCUCGCCGUAAUCGACGAUUACUAGGGGUUGGAGGAUUGACCCGUUCAGUGCAGCAGUUAACACAAUAAGUGAUCCACAUGGUGAGUAAGACUGCAAGUCUGAAACUCACAGGAAUUGACGGGGGCCCGCACAAGCAGUGGAGUAUGUCGUUUAAUUUGACGCAACCAGAAGAACCUCAGCAAGUCUUGACAUCCCUAGUAGAUGCUGGAAACAGUAUUUGUAUUAGUAGCAAGGAGACAGCAGGUGCAUGGUGGUCGUCAGCUCGUGUAGUGAGAUGAUGGGUUAAGUCCCGCAACGAGUGCAACCCCUACGGUCAGUUAAUACGCAAGAGGACUCUGUCCAGACGGCGGUUGACAAAACGGAGGAAGGUGGGGAUGACGUCAAAUCAUCAUGCCCUUUAUGACUUGGGUUACACACGUAGUGCAAGGGCGUUAAACAAAGAGAAGCAAGUCCGCGAGGAGGAGCAAAAUUCAGAAACAACGUCCCAGUUCGGACUGCAGCAUGCAACUCGCAUUCAGGAAGUCGGAACCGUUAGUAAUCGUGGAUCAGCAUGCCACGGUGAACACGUUCCCGGCCCGAGCACUCACCGCCCGUCA
rnacentral:rRNA from 1 species